AGCCUUGGGGUGUUAUCACGUCAGAUUGCAAAUCUGAAGAAGCAGCCUAAUUUCUGCCGAGGCUU
rnacentral:tRNA from 1 species